AGCUCUAUAGUGUAGUGGUAACACAGCGGACUUUGACUCCGUUAUCUAUGGUUCGAAUCCAUAUAGAGCGGCCA
rnacentral:tRNA from 4 species